rnacentral:rRNA from 1 species
GACGAACGCUGGCGGCGUGCUUAACACAUGCAAGUCGAACGGAAAGGCCCUGCUUUUGUGGGGUGCUCGAGUGGCGAACGGGUGAGUAACACGUGAGUAACCUGCCCUUGACUUUGGGAUAACUUCAGGAAACUGGGGCUAAUACCGGAUAGGAGCUCCUGCUGCAUGGUGGGGGUUGGAAAGUUUCGGCGGUUGGGGAUGGACUCGCGGCUUAUCAGCUUGUUGGUGGGGUAGUGGCUUACCAAGGCUUUGACGGGUAGCCGGCCUGAGAGGGUGACCGGCCACAUUGGGACUGAGAUACGGCCCAGACUCCUACGGGAGGCAGCAGUGGGGAAUAUUGCACAAUGGGCGGAAGCCCGAUGCAGCAACGCCGCGUGCGGGAUGACGGCCUUCGGGUUGUAAACCGCUUUCGCCUGUGACGAAGCGUGAGUGACGGUAAUGGGUAGAGAAGCACCGGCUAACUACGUGCCAGCAGCCGCGGUGAUACGUAGGGUGCGAGCGUUGUCCGGAUUUAUUGGGCGUAAAGGGCUCGUAGGUGGUUGAUCGCGUCGGAAGUGUAAUCUUGGGGCUUAACCCUGAGCGUGCUUUCGAUACGGGUUGACUUGAGGAAGGUAGGGGAGAAUGGAAUUCCUGGUGGAGCGGUGGAAUGCGCAGAUAUCAGGAGGAACACCAGUGGCGAAGGCGGUUCUCUGGGCCUUUCCUGACGCUGAGGAGCGAAAGCGUGGGGAGCGAACAGGCUUAGAUACCCUGGUAGUCCACGCUGUAAACGGUGGGUACUAGGUGUGGGGUCCAUUCCACGGGUUCCGUGCCGUAGCUAACGCUUUAAGUACCCCGCCUGGGGAGUACGGCCGCAAGGCUAAAACUCAAAGGAAUUGACGGGGCCCCGCACAAGCGGCGGAGCAUGCGGAUUAAUUCGAUGCAACGCGUAGAACCUUACCUGGGUUUGACAUGGAUCGGGAGUGCUCAGAGAUGGGUGUGCCUCUUUUGGGGUCGGUUCACAGGUGGUGCAUGGCUGUCGUCAGCUCGUGUCGUGAGAUGUUGGGUUAAGUCCCGCAACGAGCGCAACCCUUGUUCACUGUUGCCAGCACGUUAUGGUGGGGACUCAGUGGAGACCGCCGGGGUCAACUCGGAGGAAGGUGGGGAUGACGUCAAGUCAUCAUGCCCCUUAUGUCCAGGGCUUCACGCAUGCUACAAUGGCUGGUACAGAGAGUGGCGAGCCUGUGAGGGUGAGCGAAUCUCGGAAAGCCGGUCUCAGUUCGGAUUGGGGUCUGCAACUCGACCUCAUGAAGUCGGAGUCGCUAGUAAUCGCAGAUCAGCAACGCUGCGGUGAAUACGUUCCCGGG